UGUUAUAAAUUUCAUCCAUUUCUAUUGUUAAAAAUUGGCGUGACUAACGGAAUAGCCAAACAAUUACAUGUGGUGUGCCACGUGUAUCUCAUGUGGACGUAGAAGGACAGUUUUUAAUAGUACAAAUUGAUGAAAUUUUUAACA
rfam:Gossypium hirsutum cultivar TM-1 unplaced genomic scaffold scaffold189.1, whole genome shotgun sequence